AUCCAGCUGAUGAGUCCCAAAUAGGACGAAACGCGCGUUCUGGAU
rfam:Schistosoma rodhaini strain Burundi genome assembly, scaffold: SROB_scaffold0007216